GCUUUCCUGCUGCUGCAGAAAAGCCACUGACUCCUUUUGGACCCCAAACCCACCAACCCUAAUUGACCAACUUUAAGAUAAAAGCUAAAACUGUCCACGAUGGGCUGUUAUAGCCUCAACACGAGUUGUGCUGAAUGGAAAGCAGGCCAAGCUCGAUGAACAGGUCUUGGACUCUGGAACUGUUGCAGAUUUGGGACGCCCCUCUGUGGGCUCCAAAUCUGUUAAAGUAUCUUGAGUGCUGCCCUGCACCGUCUGGGUCUUUUGCAGAUGCCCGCGAUGAAGGGCUUGAUAUCGGAUGGGAACAAGUGAGAUGGAGCCGCUCAUGGGCACUGCAUUUCUGAGGCUCACUUGUAUGAGGAUGUUUGUCUGUGAAAAUGCCUUUGCCCCUCUUGCAUACAAUCCUUUCAGAACUGCUCCUGGAAGCUUUACCCUCUUCCUGAAGGAAAACUCACCAUGCUGCCUUUGCAAGCUGCUGCAAGUGAUGGAAUCCAAACGACUGCUGAGCCUGGGAGCACACCUGACAGCACUGACUAUGACACACCCUGGGGUGGGCCCAGCUCUGGCACUUUCCGCUCAGAACAGCUGCACCACACGUCAUCGACACUGGUCAUGGACGCUUUUGUUUGGAACAAAAUGCCUUCAACACACUCUCUGGCCCCCAGGGGACUCCCUUGUAGUCCUCUAGCUAGGAGAUGGGUCUCUAGUCUCCUGACACUGCUGUGCACUUCCCUCGAAUGGGUCUGACUCACUGGCCAAGUGGCAGGAGCAUAGAGAGAGAAUAUGGAAAUUAAUUUAAAAAAACCUGAACUAUAUUGAAUUGGAGUCAGGAAGGCCUGUAGGGGGAGAUCUUAUGCCCUAUGAUAUGUCCUCCAUGACACCAAAAAGGAAGAGGGGGAUGCCUGCAUCUUGGACAGGCAGUAAAACUACUUUACCACUGAAGGAAGAUUUCUCUACUCAUGCAGCAACAGCCCAGCCAAUGAGAAGAUAUGCCACUCUGAACUGUAACUUCCCCCCAAAGGACCUUCCUCCAGAACAGCCCUUCCAUACUCCCCCUUUUUCUCUACAAAAGCACCUCCCCUCCUUUCUUUUCUGAAUUUGCCUGUGGUUUUCCAUAGCAUGCACAUCCCAAAUUGCAAUUAUUUUGGCCAUUCUUGAAUAAACUCAUUUUGAGAUAAAAUAACAGGCAAAUUGACUUUUUAAGUUGACAAGAGAAAUAACAGAAGGGAUUCCUCUCACACUUUUGGUUCCCUCUGGCUUCUUUCAAGUUUUCUUCCUCUUUGAUUUUCUGCAGUUUGAAUAUAUGUCUGGCUGCAGAUUUUUUGUUUGUUUUGUAUCCUACUUGGUGUUCUCUGAGCUUCCUGAAUCUGUGGUUUGAUGUCGUGAAUUUGGGGAUGUUCUCAGCCAUUAUCACCUCAAAUAUUUCUUCUGUUCCUGUCUCUCUUUCUUCCCCUUCUGGAAUUCCACUACUGAAUGUUUCACCUUUUGCACUUGUCCCACAUUUCUUUUUCUGUCUUUGUUCUCUUUACAUUUCAGUUUUGGAAGUUUCUGUCGAUGAAUCUUCAAGCUCGCUCAUUCUGUCCUCUGCUGGGUCCAGUCUAUUGAUGAGCCCAUCAAAGGCAUUCUUCAUUUCUGUUACAGUGUCUUUUUUAAUAUUUUUUAUUGAGGUAAAAUAAAUAUAAAAUUUACCAUCGUAACCAGUUUUAAAUGCACAGUUCAGUGGUAUUAAGCACAUUCUUAUUGUUGUGCAAUCAUCGCCAUCAUCCAUCUCCAGGAUUCUUUUCAUCUUGCAAUACCCAAGAAACUCUAUACCCCUUAAACAAUAACUCCACAUUCCACCUUUUCCCAAACCCUGGCACCUAUCAUUCUACUUUCUGUCUCUAUGACUUUGACUACUCCAAGUACCUCAUGUAAGUGGAAUCAUACAGCAUUUUCCUUUUCAUGUCUCGCUUAUUUUACUUAGCACAGUGUCCUCACGGCUCAUCUGUGUUGUAGCAUGUUGACCUAAAACAAACAGCCAGUUAUUUUACCAGCAAAAUGGGUUCAUUCGGGAACAACAAAGAACUGCAAUCAGUGACAUGUGGUCCGUGGCAAACCACAGGCAUCUCCAGAGAAACAAAGGAGGAAAACAUUCUCUUAUGAAGCUGGGUGGGGCUGUUAUGUACAAAGAGUCCAUUGGAGGAACUUGGAAGCUUGAAGUCUAGUGAGUUUUCAUUGAUGAGUUAUGGCCGUCUCUCAUUGGCUGAACUGUUGCUGGACAAGGAGGAAUUUCUUCCUCCCUUCCUUCUGCUGGGGUGGUAAAGUAUAUCACUUCCUGUGGGAGAUGCAAGGUAUGUCUCUUCCUGUUGGGCUCUGUAGGGUGCAUUGAGAAGCUUGUGCAUGAGAGAUCUCUCUUCUGGCCUCCUGACUCCAUUUAAAAUAAGGUUUCUGUAUAUUAAUUGUCAGCAGAAUAUGUCAGAAUUUCCUUCCUUUUUAAGGCUGAAUAAUAUUCCAUUGUACGUUUGUACCACAUUUUGCUUAUUCAGUCACCUGUUGAUAGAUGCUUGGAUUGCUCCCAUUCUUUUAGUGUCCUGACUCUCAAUUUCAACAUUGGGGGGGUGAUUCCCACACAUACAACAAGAUAUUCUCAGACACGAGAAGAGUGUCCAAUGUGGACGAAAAUAAUCCAUAACCAAUCUAUAAAUGAAAAUUUGGGAGAGUUUAUUCUGAGCUAGAAUGUGAGGACCAUGGCCCAGGAGAGUCCUUCCACAAAGGAGCGGAGCACUCCAAAGAAGUGGGGGUAUACAGAGUGGUUAUAUACCCUCAAAGAGGAUGUUUCACAUAUGAUUGAAAUGUCCCUCUUACGAUAGUCACAAGAUUGCCCUGUCGGCACAGCCCUUGAUAGACCCAGCAGGUAGAGGGUCUGCUAUCUUGGCAGGCGCAGCAGGAAGCAAGUCUGUUGUCUCGAGCUGGGUGGUCACAGGUGAGCGCAGCAAUCAGUUCCUAGCCUAAGGAAAGAUGCUUAAUCUUUAAGGA